rnacentral:rRNA from 1 species
GUGGGGAAUUUUGGACAAUGGGCGCAAGCCUGAUCCAGCAAUGCCGCGUGCAGGAAGAAGGCCCUCAGGGUUGUAAACGGCUUUUGACGGUGAAGAAUCGAUAGGAUGCGUCCUGUUUUGACGGUAGCCGUUGAAUAGCACCGGCUAACUCCGUGCCAGCAGCCGCGGUAAUACGGAGGGUGCGAGCGUUGUCCGGAUUUAUUGGGUUUAAAGGGUGCGUAGGCUGGAAGGUCAGUCAGCGGUGAAAAGCUGUCGCUUAACGAUAGUCUUGCCGCAGAUACUUCCUUUCUUGGAUGAGGAGGAGGCCACUGGAACGGAUGGUGUAGCGGUGAAAUGCAUAGAUAUCAUCCAGAACACCGAUUGCGAAGGCAGGUGGCUGUACCUUAAUCGACGCUGAUGCACGAAAGCAUGGGGAGCAAACAGGAUUAGAUACCCCUGUAGUCC